rnacentral:rRNA from 1 species
CUCCGUAGGGUGAACCUGCGG